UACGUAGGGUGCGAGCGUUACUCGGAAUUACUGGGCGUAAAGCGUGCGCAGGCGGUGAUGUAAGACAGUUGUGAAAUCCCCGGGCUCAACCUGGGAACUGCAUCUGUGACUGCAUCGCUGGAGUGCGGCAGAGGGGGAUGGAAUUCCGCGUGUAGCAGUGAAAUGCGUAGAUAUGCGGAGGAACACCGAUGGCGAAGGCAAUCCCCUGGGCCUGCACUGACGCUCAUGCACGAAAGCGUGGGGAGCAAACAGG
rnacentral:rRNA from 1 species